GCUGAUGAUAAGCUCUGGUGUGACUACAGAGCAAAGGAAAUUGUCAUACACUGCUGGCAGUAAUGUAAUGAUAAAACUACUGUAGAAAGUAGUUUGGCAAUUUCUUAAAAAUUUAACGUAUACUUACCAUAUAACUAAAUAAUUCCACUUCUUGGUCUGUACAGAGUAUUUAAAGAUUUAUUUAUAAUAGCCUCAACCUAGAGACAAUCCACCUGUCCACCAGUAGCUGAGUGCCUGAUAUACUUUGGCUCUGUGUCUCCACCCAAAUCUCAUGUUGGAUUGUAAUCCCCAAUGUUGGGAAAGGAUAUAGUGGGAGGUGAUUAGAUCAUGGGUGUGGAUUUCUUCCUUGCUGUUCUCAUGAUAGUGAGUGAGUUCUCACAAGAUCUGGUUGUUGAAAGUGUCUUCUCCCUUCACUCUCUGCUUCCUGCUGCCAUGUGAAGAUGUGCUUGCUUCCCCUUGCCUUCUGCCAUGAUUUUACGUUUCCAGAGGCCUCCUAUGCCAUGGCCCCUGUAUAGCCUGCAGAACUGGACAUGGAUGAAUCUGGAAAACAUCAUCCUCAGCAAACUGACACAAGAACAGAAAAUGAAACACCGCAUAUUCUCACUCAUAGCUCCUAGGCUUGUGCAGCAAGUAUGCAAGACAGCAUUCUAAAACCUGUGAUAGACACUCCACAGUAUAACUUGGGUGAGUCUCGUGUAAACUGAUGCCUUAUGGCUAUCAUAGUAUUAGAGUAACUAUGUCAAAGUGAUUUUUCUUGUGUUGUGGAUAUCUAAUGAUAGUGAUAGGAAGUAAUUGUGAAGAGCAAGAGCUCAGACUGAUUUGUGGUUUAGGUUACUUUUUGAAUAUUAGUGGACAAUAUUUGACAUAUGACACUGUAUUAUUGAGCCUGAAUUAUUAAAUCUAAUAUACAGUACAAUAUGACUCUGGUUUUUAGUGGAGCUGAGGGUGGAUAUUGCUUUCCUGGGGACACUGUUGACAUAAAAAAGACACAUACACACGUACCAUAGAUAAUGCUCUUUCAGCCACAUCAAACAAAGAAGACAUUGUUUGAGACUUUUGACACCACCGAAACUCAGGUCAGCUAAAGAAAAAGGAAAUAAAUCCCAAAAACUUUCACUUUAGUUUUUCA
rnacentral:lncRNA from 13 species